rnacentral:rRNA from 1 species
CAGUAGCCGCGGGAAAACGUAGGUGGCAAGCGUUGUCCGGAAUUAUUGGGCGUAAAGGGCUCGCAGGCGGUUUCUUAAGUCUGAUGUGAAAGCCCCCGGCUCAACCGGGGAGGGUCACUGGAAACUGGGAAACUUGAGUGCAGAAGAGGAGAGUGGAAUUCCACGUGUAGCGGUGAAAUGCGUAGAGAUGUGGAGGAGCACCAGUGGCGAAGGCGACUCUCUGGUCUGUAACUGACGCUGAGGAGCGAAAGCGUGGGGAGCGAACAGGAUUAGAUACCCCGGUAGUCCCUGUCUCUUAUAC